CAAGGUAAGUGUUUCUCACAUCUUUCAAGCGCAUUAAAUCAUCCAAAAAAACAAACUCCAUAUACUUCUUAUAGGCAAAUUAAUAGCUUUUGCCGGAAAAUUUUCCAGUCAACUUCUCUUUUAAUUUUUUAGAUUUGUUCACGGGAUUAUUACCAAAUUCUCCUUCAAAUCUGGACACCCCACCACCUUUAAAUCCGAUCACCACCAUAAACUUCUAAUUUUUCUUCUCGUUUUUAAGAUCCAAUUGACCACUGCAAUUCUGCCUAGAUAAGUAGCGUUCCAAUCUCAAAUGUUUUUCUUCUUCCUCGAAUUUUCAGCUUAGAAACUUUUAGAUCUUAAAGUUUUUGUCCUAGAUCAGUAUUUGGUUACUAAUUUAUAACUCUAAGAAGAAGAAAGUUCCGAACUUUUCCGGCGAGAGCCAAGAAUUUUCCUUAAAAAAUGUCGGUCCAAAAAGAGAAAUGAGGCUAACAUAGGGGAGGGAUUUUCUGUUAAGGGUGGUUGCCCCUCGAUCUGUUGUGCCAAUAAUUUUCUAUAGCUACUAAACCAACAAUCGUUGUUCAUUAAAUGCUGAGAAACAAAAUAUGUUUCUUUAGUCUACAACUUAAGUCAUGAACCUCUGUGUUUGUGUCCUUGCGUGUGUGUUACUUUUUCCUCCUUUGGAAUAAUUUUACAAAAGAGGCAGUGAUGAUAAUACGUCACUUCUUGGGCUAUCAACUAGUGAGAAUUUAUUAUGUCAUUUCGUCGAACAUCUGGUAUGCUCGGAACAACUGAAAUCUAUUUUUGUAUUAUUGUGGAAUUUGGUUGGAUGAAGUCAGCGGGAAAAUGUUUAAACACAUUCUCCAUAACAGCAGAAAGCUUUUUGUAUUGGUUCUGUUCGAUUUGGACCCCCGAAACUCCAUUUCCGACCAACUGAAGCUCGUUGGAGUUUUGCAAAUGUCAGGGCUGACGUUUCCGACGGUGGAAUAGUCUGAAAUUUUGUGAAAAGAUAGACCUGGAGGUGGAGAACAAUUUUCAUGGUUUGUAAUUUGCAAUUUGGCCCAGAAUUAAGUUAGAAAAGAAAUGGCCGGAAAUUGAUUUUUCCGGCGAGGAUGGUCGUUAGGGAAAAUGAAAACGGAUGAAUCCACGUGUGCUCCUCUUAUUCGUCACUCUAGAGUAUGAAUUACACGCACCUUUUGUGUUUGGUUACCUAUGAAUUUUGUGUCUAAAUGACACAGUAAAUGCUUGGUAAAAGUGUUCAAAUGAAACAGACUUAAAAUGGAGUAUCUAAGUGAAAUAUAUGGACAACUUUAAGGGGAUGUCAAUGUAUUUUACCUUCUAUUUAUAUGCUACUGAAGGUGAUAAGACCUACCUUUUCAGGUGUCACUGCUAAUUGGCAAGACUUGUAUGACAAUUUGAAGUCCCACAUACCUAGAUUGACAUAUACUGGGAUUUUGUGGCAACUACCUCCUACAGGUUGGAUAAAAUAUAACAUUGAUGGAGUAUGUAGAGGCAGUGAUGGAACAACUUCAUAUGCCUUUUUCAUUGAAGAUGGGGUUGGUGACCUACUAUAUGCACAGGCAGAUGAGAUUCAAGAUGCCACUAACAACAUUGCUGAAGCCACACCCAUCCUUGAAGAACUCGGGUACAGAUAUUGGGGCUGGGUUUAUGUGUUGGCCAACAUACAAGGGUGGUAUUAGCAUCUUUUAUGCUCAGUCCCUUUAGGUGUAAACAAUGCAUAGCCCUGCUCAAUUAUACUCUAAGAGGAAGGGUGCAGCAGGCUCACUUAUGCCAUUCAAGCUGCACAACAACUUGCAAGAGUUGUGAUUGCCAUUUUAACCUAAAGAGAGCUAUUGGAGACUUUUGGUUUGCAAUAUGUCACGUCCACUGCUCCUUCAACCUUCUUGAGCUUUGGGAAGCAAGUAACAACAAUGCUCACAGAUGCACAAGAAUCCACUUUACCCGUUUGAAGAAUGCACUGCCUAGAUUUGCUAAAUGUGGGCAAUGGUUUUGAAUUGUAAUUGCCGGCCAGUUGAGUACAAACUGGUGCAUGUGCCAAACAGAUAUGGCAUAUAUGAUGCAUCAAGAAGAUUCAUUUGCUUGGUUUUCAUACUCUCAUGUAGGGAUUAUUCACGAUUUUUUGAAGAAAAAUUACAAGGACAUCAAGGCUGCCUUGAACUGGAUAGUGAGGUUGGUCCUUAUUGGGUGUGGCUUAGCUGGCUUCUUGGCUUUGCCAUAUGCUUAUACCACUUCUAGGAAUCAAUUGGAGCUGAUUGAUCGAAUACAUUUGAGGUGCUCAUGCCCAAAAUCAAAAGUGCAGAAGAUUUGCACACAUUAGGAUAGCUUUGUACAUGUCUUUACUUGGCUUAUUUUCAUAGUUUUUUUAUCCUAAGUAUGCCAUUGUUCAUUGUGUACUAUCAAAGUUGAGUAGACUGCUCAACUUUGGUAAUAGGCGUGAUGUAUUUUCAAGUUCUACUUUCAUACAUUUUGUGAGA